rnacentral:lncRNA from 1 species
CAGAGACAAGUGGGUAUCCUUGGGGUGUGGCUGCCAUGCCGGGCAAGUCACGUCAUUUGUCCCCUGCAGGUCCUCCUUGUCUUUCGUUUCUGUUCUGCAGUCUUGGUAGACAACAUUGGGGCCCAGGUAGACUGCCCUUAGGAACUGACAUUGGAGCUGAGGCUUGAAGGGUGGGGUGGGCCCAGAGAUGCUGAGAGGUGGGGAGGGAACUUCAGGGACACAGAACAGUUCAGCACAUUAGACACGAGAAACUAGAGAGAACUCUUAACUCAGCGUCUGCUCUCAAGGUACUGACAGUUUAGGCUGGUUGUCACGCUGGUAAGCUUGAUUCACUGCCACUUCCUGCCUUUAUGAAACUGAUCCUUCCUGUAACCCCCAACCUCCGGCUGCUGUUAAAACUAGGUGUGUCUUCAACUUGCACUUGGGCUCCAGAUUACCUUGAAGGACCUGUGGAACUGAUGCCUUGGGCCAGCCUCAGCUAAUGUCUGCAAGAGACACCAAUCUGAUUCCUUUCCAUUUCAAGGAGGAAAGUCAAGAUAUCUUUACUCAGUGGAAGAAUGAUGUAGUUUCCUCCUAACCUUCUUUUCUUAUGCUUCCAGAUGCCCUCUGGAAGGUUACGAUGGGAAUGAGCCUGACGACUUGGACGGUUUCCCCGACUUGUUGCCUCUGCCCGCAAGUUUGUCCUUCGGAAGUCAGGAAAGUGCUGCGCGUGGUGGUGGCCUCCCAGGAACAAGGCGU